GUAAAGUAUAUAUUGUGAUGGGGUUUGAUUACUACUCUGCCCAUGUUUUAUCCAUCUUUUACUUUAUUUUUCAUGGCAAAUAAAGGAUGAAAUACUAGUCAUAAAAGAUUUAUUUUUAAAUUUUUUAUUUAAUUUUAUGGAGAUAGAGGGCCUAGAAGGUGUUUGAUAAAAUGUGUGAAUAGAGAAAAAGGUGAAAAAUAGUGAAGAACAAGACUUGGUUAUUGUCGUUGUGCUCCACACUCUUCAAUAGUAUCAAAUGGUACAGUUUACUUCUUCACAGGGAAUUAUAUUGAAUAGUAUCAGAUGGACGCAUGUUUGUACUUGACGUCCUUGUUCGUUGUUGCUCUUUCAUAUAUUACCAGGACUCUUCUUUGUUUAAUACUUGUUUUCUUUGAGUAGUUUCAAAGUUUAACUAACUUCUUUUCUGCUUGAAUCGAUAGUGAUGGACGUGUCUAACAUAAAAAUAGGUCGUUGAUAAUAGCAAAUUCCCAAAUUUAAGAUCGAUUCUGUUGAAUUUGAAACACUCACACUAGGGUCCUUGCCGCCAACUUUUCAAGAUUGGCUCUGCUGUUGGUGGUACUUAUUUUAGCUCAUGAAUUGGAGGUAGUAGAGGAUGCAGAAUGCAAGUUUAUUUGAAGCCAAGUUUUAUUCAAGGUCAUUGAGUUGGGUUGAUAGAAG